rnacentral:rRNA from 1 species
UAGAGUUUGAUCAUGGCUCAGGAUGAACGCUAGCGACAGGCUUAACACAUGCAAGUCGAGGGGCAGCGGGGAGGUAGCAAUACUUCCGCCGGCGACCGGCGCACGGGUGAGUAACACGUAUGGAACCUGCCCGUAGCAGGGGGAUAAGCGGAAGAAAUUCCGUCUAAUACCGCGUAAUAACUCCGAGAGGCAUCUCAUGGAGUUUAAAGGGUAAUACCGGCUACGGAUGGCCAUGCGGCGCAUUAGCUAGUUGGCGGGGUAACGGCCCACCAAGGCGACGAUGCGUAGGGGUUCUGAGAGGAAGGUCCCCCACACUGGUACUGAGACACGGACCAGACUCCUACGGGAGGCAGCAGUGAGGAAUAUUGGUCAAUGGGCGCGAGCCUGAACCAGCCAAGUCGCGUGAGGGAAGACGGUCCUAUGGAUUGUAAACCUCUUUUGUCGGGGAGCAAAAGGCGCCACGUGUGGCGUUCCGAGAGUACCCGAAGAAAAAGCAUCGGCUAACUCCGUGCCAGCAGCCGCGGUAAUACGGAGGAUGCGAGCGUUAUCCGGAUUUAUUGGGUUUAAAGGGUGCGCAGGCGGAAGAUCAAGUCAGCGGUAAAAUUGAGAGGCUCAACCUCUUCGAGCCGUUGAAACUGGUUUUCUUGAGUGAGCGAGAAGUAUGCGGAAUGCGUGGUGUAGCGGUGAAAUGCAUAGAUAUCACGCAGAACUCCGAUUGCGAAGGCAGCAUACCGGCGCUCAACUGACGCUCAUGCACGAAAGUGUGGGUAUCGAACAGGAUUAGAUACCCUGGUAGUCCACACAGUAAACGAUGAAUACUAAUUGUUCGGGGAGAAUGAUCCCUGAGUGAUACAGCGAAAGCGUUAAGUAUUCCACCUGGGGAGUACGCCGGCAACGGUGAAACUCAAAGGAAUUGACGGGGGCCCGCACAAGCGGAGGAACAU